AAAAGUGCUUGCAGUGCAGGUAGUUUUUGAGAUCUACUGCAAUGCAAGCACUUCUUAC
rnacentral:pre_miRNA from 1 species